ensembl:lncRNA
UAAAGAUGACUUAAGAAACUAUUUAUCUGCAUGAGCCCCAGCCUUUGCCAUCCAGCAGACGUUAGGCACAGCAUAUGCAUAUCCUGCACAGUAUUCCCGUUGGUGUGGAUGCAGUACUGAUACAUGGGUCUGUGUUUGCAGGCAUUUUAGGAUUCUCUUCCAGAACUCUCAAGAGAUAUCUACCAUUUUCUUAGAUCACAAUUGCAAAGCCUGGGGAGUUAAUCAUUCCUUUAUGAUGUUUCCAACACAUCAAUUAUGAAUGAACUCUCUAUAUUCUGUGGCUUUCUACUUUUAUACCCAUGUGUGCUUGUGGUGGAGAGGAUGAAGGGGAGAGGCACGGAACUCAGAGAAAGAAUUAUCAUUAGAAACACUUCAGUUGGAAGCCCUCAUCUCCCCAGUACAUUGCCUUGCAACUGAUGAGGCCUGAACUUCAGAAAGAUAAAACUUUGAUAAGAAGCAGAGUGAAGGCUAACAUAUAGAAUAUUCUAAUGCCGACUAAGAAAGCUAAGCUGGGGAUUGGUAGUUGCCUGUGGAGGAAAGCUACUUCCAACUGCAGACAAAUGAGGCACGUCCAGAAUCGCCACUCACUGAGCAGUGUCAUAAGGCGUGACUGGGACUCUGCAGACACUGCUUUGGAGAAAACAGCACUGUAAUUUCAUUGAAAUGGCUGAGAUUUCAACCUUCAUCAGUCUGGAAUCUGAAAAGCUUUAAGAUUUAAGAUACCAAUGCCCCUCACAGGAAAAAACAAAAGCAUGACAUGAUGGUGAGAUCUCAACACGUAAAGACUUCAAAGAGAUACUGAGGAGUAUACUGUUGGUUUAUAAAUUAUUGAAUAUUAUUAGAUAUGCUAUAAAUAAAUUCUCUGUACCAUUUUUCCAACAUAAUUGAUUUUCUGUCUAUAUAAAUAGUCUCAAACUCCAUACAGACCAGUCUGCGCUUAAUCCUGGAAAUUCUGAAUGCAUUACAAUAUCUUCAUGCCAAUAAUGGGGAAAUGGAAAUUUUCUACUCUCUCAGUCAAGGCUACUGUGUAUUGUGAAAACCAGGAAAACUCAUACUUGUUCAGUAUCUGACGUGGAAACAUCAGUCCUACAAACUUGCAGCAUCAAUUUUUAGGACAUACAUACAGCAGGAACGAUAGUGGUUUCUUAAACUACAGCUGCAGCACAAGCCUUCAAGGAAAGCAUUUAAAAGUUUAAGCUCAGUUUCUCAAUUUUGUGUAGCAGGAACCAGUACCCUGAGCCACACAGUUACAUUACAGCCACUGGCAGGAUUUCUACUGCAUCUACCAAUAAACCUUCAGCGAGUACAACGAUUAAGGCAUUAUUAGAGUCUCUGAGAUAUGCAGCAUGAUGCAGUCUUAAAACUCUGCUGUACCAGACAGAAUUAGCUAGAGUGAUCCAUUCUUCAAACGAAAAAGGGAUUUCACUGUUAGCACUCCAGAAUGAUUAUUGCUGUUUAAAUAGCAAGUGACAGUUUGAGUACAUUAGGUGUUACAUGCAGUACUCUCUACGAGCUAAAACCAUUAUAAUUAGACUGCACGGGAAACUCUGCUUGCAAAUACUGACAUAGUAUUGUGGCACACUUACAUUCUGCAGUGCGUAUCUAAUUAUUUAUUUAUUUACAUUUCAAACUUCCAAAAUAGCAAACUUCAUACUCAACAGCUAAUCACUCGCUGUGAUAAAAUAUAAACCAUAAAUGUCAUACAGCACAUAAAGGAGCAGGUUUCUGUUUUACAUUGGGUUGUAUUUACCAGAUUGUAGUAUUCUUGUAUAUACAGCAUCUUGCUUGUGUGGAUUUGUCAAAUGAUUUCACUACCGAGUAAAAUGUCAUUGUGUUUAAUCAAACAUUUUUUAACUCUGUUGUGACAGUUUGAAAAGUUGCUGAUACUUUUAAUGUAGCCAAGUACAGGCAAACUUGACAUUCACUUGGAACUAUUUUGCUUUAUCUGCGGCUGAUUUAGACCAGUACUAUCAUAGACAGUGAAAUUUUAUAACUCUAACUCAUAACACAUUUUAGUUUAAAAACAAUUAGACUUAUUGCUGCCAAAGAUGGUAAUAUUCCUUUGAAUUUAUUGUUCUGAAGUUUCUUCAACGCACACAGCACACAAUACACCUGCCUCUACCGAAGCUGAAGAACUAAAUAAUGCCAGUGUGUCAAGACAAGGGAUGAUACACUGCAGAACUUCAUUUUUCGAGAGGCUACAGCAUGAACAAGUCUGUACAUGUCUUGUGUACACAAUCUGUUUUUAUUUUUGCAAAUCAUCUCUCAAGUUUAUCUCCUCCAACUACUGUUUCUUCUUGAUUCCAUGUUAUUCUGAACGUUCACUGUCUUGCACACACCUACACGUCACACUUCCCAACAUUUUCCCACCUGUAUUCUGUUGCACAUUCAUUGAUUACAAUUUUGGCAAAUAGUGACAAGCUAUUCAACCUCAACUGCAGCAGCAGAGGAGACAGACUUUUUUCCAGCUAAAAUAGUUAGCAGUGUAAUAGUUCCACCAUAAAAACAACAACAGCAACAACAACAAUGUCAGAAUAAUGAAAAAAAUAAGGAAGAUUAAAUAUCAAUAUAAUUGAUACUCACUGUACGAAAAUG